rnacentral:rRNA from 1 species
GACGAACCGUGCAAACGUUGUUCGGAAUCACUGGGCUUAAAGGGCGCGUAGGCGGUUGACCAAGUCCGGGGUGAAAUCUUUCGGCUUAACCGGAAAAGUGCCUUGGAUACUGGUCGGCUCGAGGGAGGCAGGGGCAGCUGGAACUUCCAGUGGAGCGGUGAAAUGCGUUGAUAUUGGAAGGAACGCCGGUGGCGAAAGCGAGCUGCUGGACCUCUUCUGACGCUGAGGCGCGAAAGCUAGGGUAGCGAACGGG